GUAACGCGUAUGCAAUCUACCUUUUACAGGGGAAUAGCCCAGAGAAAUUUGGAUUAAUGCCCCAUAGUAUAUUUGAAUGGCAUCAUUUGAUUAUUAAAGUCACAACGGUAAAAGAUGAGCAUGCGUCCCAUUAGUUAGUUGGUAAGGUAACGGCUUACCAAGACGAUGAUGGGUAGGGGUCCUGAGAGGGAUAUCCCCCACACUGGUACUGAGACACGGACCAGACUCCUACGGGAGGCAGCAGUGAGGAAUAUUGGUCAGUGGGCGCAAGCCUGAACCAGCCAUGCCGCGUGCAAGAUGACGGUCCUAUGGAUUGUAAACUGCUUUUAUACAGGAAGAAACACUCCCUCGUGAGGGAGCUUGACGGUACUGUAAGAAUAAGGAUCGGCUAACUCCGUGCCAGCAGCCGCGGUAAUACGGAGGAUCCAAGCGUUAUCCGGAAUCAUUGGGUUUAAAGGGUCCGUACGCGGCCCAGUAAGUCAGUGGUGAAAUCUCCCGGCUCAACCGGGAAAUUGCCAUUGAUACUGCUGGGCUUGAAUUAUCAGGAAGUAACUAGAAUAUGUAGUGUAGCGGUGAAGUGCUUAUAGAUUACGUGGAAUACCAAUUGCGAAGGCAGGUUACUACUGGUGGAUUGACGCUGAUGGA
rnacentral:rRNA from 1 species